CCUACGGGAGACAGCAGUGGGGAAUAUUGCACAAUGGGGGAAACCCUGAUGCAGCGACGCCGCGUGAAGGAAGAAGUAUUUCGGUAUGUAAACUUCUAUCAGCAGGGAAGAAAAUGACGGUAGCUGACUAAGAAGCCCCGGCUAACUACGGGCCAGCAGCCGCGGUAAUACGUAGGGGGCAAGCGUUAUACGGAUUUACUGGGUGUAAAGGGAGCGUAGGCGGGAUGGCAAGUCUGGUGUGAAAGGCUAGGGCUCAACCCCUGGACUGCAUUGGAGACUGUCAGGCUUGAGUGCAGGAGAGGUAAGUGGAAUUCCUAGUGUAGCGGUGAAAUGCGUAGAUAUUAGGAGGAACACCAGUGGCGAAGGCGACUUACUGGACUGUAACUGACGUUGAGGCUCGAAAGCGUGGGGAGCAAACAGGAUUAGAUACCCCAGUAGUC
rnacentral:rRNA from 1 species